UCCCUGCCUACUUGAAGCUUUCAGAAGAAACGUGCCCCUGCUUGAACUCCUCCAUUUGCGUGGGCACUUGCUGGAGUUACCUAACUGGCAGUUUGCUGGGAUGCACGCUGCAUCUUGCUGUGCCUCGGGUUAAAGCCAUCCGUGCUGGAAAAUGGAGCCACAAGAAAUCAAUCCCAGGUGGAGGAUUGCCAAUGGGGAUUGCCUCCCUGACGGCCUCUGGGACAUCUGCAUAUCUUCGUGGACACCUCCAGAUCAUGGAGCUGAGUUCCCUCCCUCCUCCCUCUUUUGACUUUAUUACCUCUUAAACCCCUCAAUAUCCCAGGAUUUGGCCACGAAGGCUGGAAGCUCUCAGAGCCAUCUGAUCUGCAUUGCUAAGCACUGUCACCUCCUCCCCUUGCACCACCUGGCUUAACCUCUGCCCUCUCACAUUUGCAGAUAUGUGCACAGAGCUUAAUCUCACAAGGAGCUGGGAGACUCUUUUUUUUCCCUGCAGAGGAAACAGGAUUUUAUUGC